UUCUUGUUCAUGAAAAUAUCUAACACCGCAGCUCCUUUCUCUGGAACCUGAGUGUUGCAGCCUGCAUUUCGUGCUUUCAGCAUCUAACUGAAUCCAUGCUUUCCUCCCACGCCCCUGGGGGAGGGGAGUGCAUUUUAUACUCACUGAUAGUGGAAGACUCCCUUUCUGUUUGAACUUGCAAUAAAAUCAGCUUCUUCCUUUGCAUAAAACAACGUCAUCUAGACACUUCCUGUGAAAGAUAAUCUUUCAGCUGGCAGCAGCUGAGGACCAUUUUUAUUCAAUUGCUUUGUGACUGGUCUCUCGUGACCCACACUUGCAUACAGCUUGGAGGAAGACCUGGCUAUCCAUGUGAGCUGCUGUUCAUGGGCUGGAGUGGGCAGAGAUUCCACGGGACGGAGAUGCACGCAUGGAGAUGCAACUGACAGGAAGGGAGACGGGAUCUGAAGAAUAAAGAAUCAUCCAGAAGAUUUAUCUAUCAGGAGACGGGGGUGCUAAUCUGGGUUCUCAGCUUCCUUUUUGGGAUACCUGCUUCUAUUCUGCCUAGAGCUGUGAAAGGAAGGAGUGGAGGAGGACAAAAUUAGAUAUCCCAGGAAUAGAAGGCUCAUUGGAGUACAAUAUCAUCUGAAAAUCCAAGAAACUUGAAUCUUAUCUGACAAUAUUCUCAGGAGAUCCUCAGGAUGUUUCUCCUAGGGUCAUGAGACAGGAGGAAGCAUGCUUGGAACAACAUGUAAUAAAUGGAGUUGUGGACAUAUCUCACAUAUGAUAGGAAAUACCAGUCUGAAGCUCAGCAGAGAGAUCUAAAUGGACAAUACAGAUCAGGAGGGCUUUAGAAUACAGUCAUAGAUGAAACCAUGGGCUUACAUGGGAAAUACCACAAUGAGAAUACAGGUUCAGGGCAUUACCCUGGGUAAUACCAAAGUUUGGCCAACAACAGUAAGCCUACAAAAGUGGUAAGAAGUGACCACAGAGAACAUUUGAAAACUCAAAAGAGAAAUGUCAAGGAGGCUAAAAGAAGAGCAGUGAAGAUUCCAGCUGCAGCUGGAACGAGAAUCAGAUUUUUAAUAUGACUUUUUCCAGAUGUUAAAUAUUUGGGAUUAAAUACCAGAGAGAUCCAAUGCAUAUGAACUGGGAUGUGUCUAUUGGCUUUAGCAAAAUGUCACUAAUCAGAGGGAAGUUUCCUUACAAGAGCUGACAGAGAAAGGGUGAUCAGUACUGAAUAAAAUUUGGGCUUUGAGUAUUUUGGCUUUCACCUGGGAAAUAACUGAGUCUGUUUAUUCUAUGUUAAGAGUCAAAGGGAGGUACUGAGGGGAAUGCCAGUGAGCAGGGAGGUUAAAGAAAAUAGAGGGGGGGCCGGGCGCAGUGGCUCAAGCCUGUAAUCCCAGCACUUUGGGAGGCCGAGGCGGGUGGAUCACAAGGUCAAGAGAUCGAGACCAUCCUGGUCAACAGGGGGAAACCCCGUCUCUACUAAAAAUACAAAAAAUUAGCUGGGCACGUGGUGCGUGCCUGUAAUCCCAGCUACUCAGGAGGCUAAGGCAGGAGAAUUCCCUGAACCCAGGAGGCGGAGGCUGCGGUGAGCCGAGAUCGCGCCAUUGCACUCCAGCCUGGGUAACAACAGUAAAACUCCAUCUCAAA